CUUCUAGCGGCAUCUAUACAGGCCAUUUCUACAGGUCUUCUUAGCUAUCGAGCCCUACAACGAUUACAAACUUCAUCUCAAGGGCUGCGCAUCAUACACAGAUAUGGUAACUCUGGACUCAGAAGCGGAGGAUGAACUCCAAUGGUGGCUUCUUCACAUGGAAGCUUGGAAUAAGCACACCAUAUUUUGUACAGCUCCAGAUUUGAUAAUCAAAUCCGACACAAGUUUGCAUGGUUGGGGUGCUCAAUGCGGAACUAUUUCCACCAAGGGCAGAUAAUCAAACCUGGAAUCAACACUCCACAUCAAUUGUUUGGAACAUCUGGCUGGUUCCUUUGCAGUCCAUAGUUUCUCCCCAACUCAAGCCCAAUGCGCUAUCCUUCUGAAGAUGGACAACGUGUCAGCAGUCCGCUACAUCAAUCACUUGGAGGCACAAAAUACAAAAUUCUGACCUACAUGCCUCGUGAUUGCUGGCAAUUUUGCCUGAGACACGGCAUUUCAGUCACGGCAGAAUAUAUUCAAGGUCUCUCCAAUACUACGAAGGACUGGUAUUCACGCCAACUCAGAGAUUCCAGCGACUGGCACUUGGAUUCCAUGGUCUUCCAAGACAUCUGGAACCUAUGGAGUCUAUUUUCACUUCUCGUUUGAAUGCUCAACUUCCCCGUUUUUUCAGUUGGAGACCAG